rfam:Triticum aestivum genome assembly, contig: Triticum_aestivum_CS42_TGACv1_scaffold_177198_2DS
UUAAUACUCCCUCCAUCCGAAAAUACUUGACAUCAAAAUAAAUAAAAGGAGAUGUAACUAGAACUAAAAUACGUCUAGAUACAUCCCUUUUUAUUCAUUUUGAUGACAAGUAUUUUCGGACGGAGGGAGUAAUAU